AUACUUACCUGGCAGGGGAGAUACCAUGAUCACAAAAGUGGUUUUCCCAGGGCAAGGCUUAUCCAUUGCACUCUGGAUGUGCUGACCCCUGCAAUUUCCCCAAAUGUGGGAAACUCGACUGCGUAAUUUGUGGUAGUGGAGGACUGCGUUCACGUUCUCCCCUG
rnacentral:snRNA from 1 species